AGUAAAUAAAAAACUAUUCUAACAUGAGAGAUUCAACAUAUGCAAUCAGAAGAUGUGAAUUUGACACUACAUACUCAAAGUGAGAGUUCAGUGACAGGAAUAUUCACUACUUCAAGAUUUCUGGAGCAGCCUGGGAUGAAGGAGAGUCCACAGGGAGGAUCCAUUGUGACAAUGAGGCCGACGCUGCAAAGAUUCUUCAAAAUAAGAUGUUACAUGCAGCAAGCAUGCUAAGGAAGGGUAAAUUCUUCAACUGGUAUAAAUCAACCAAGUCUGUGGAUCUCAGUACAAGAUACAAGAUAAUGGGUUACAGCUACCAUUCGUCAGAUGACAGUUAUACCAGACCCUAAGGGACUGACUAGUUAGAUAGAGCAGUUCACUCCAACAUGAUGAAGUUUCUUUUAUCAAUUUUAUAAACAAUGGAAAAGAACAAUCUUGUAAAGGCUAAUACAGAUUAAUAAUAGGACCAGAGUGUAAAUAUAUCUAAUAAGAAAGGUGUCUUUAUUAAAGAUGUUCAGUCCUAAAAUAAAAU
ensembl:lncRNA